UUGGGGAGUAAUUAAUAACUGGCUGGUACCCUACUGGAGUAGAACUACCUCCCAGCACUACUGCCGCCGCCACCGCCGCCUCCUCCUCCGAGACAGACUUUACUCAGUGUGAGAAAGGAGUGGGAGCACGCUCUGGUAGCAGCCUGAUGGAUCAGCAACAGGCAUUUCAAAAGAGAGAAAGGAAUGAGAUAGCAAAGGUAAGAGUGAAGGAGGAGGCCGGGGGAGAGAGAUGAGAGGGGGGAUGAAGUGGAUGGAUGGCGAGGAGGGAAGAUUGGAGGGAAGAAAAGUGGAGAAAACUUUACGAAAACCAUUAAAUACACCGAAAAAAACAGAGAACCAAAUACUCCCAGUGUGUAAAAUGAUGGGAUUGUCAUGUUUUGAUGGAGUUGAUAUCGUCACCUUCACAGUAUCGGCUCUGAAAAAGGGAACGGCACAAUGCAGAUGCACACGGGGGCAUGUCAAGGCCUUUCAGUCCCAGGCCUCGCUUUUCCAGCUCAUGUGGAACAAAUCAGGAGCGUAUUACAAAAGGAUUCACUCCCUCCUCUCUGACUGACCGUUUUCAUUUCCUCACCUGUGUUUGAAUAAUGUUUCCCUCUUCCGCUCCCAUCUCCGGCAUGCAUAGAUUACCGAGAAAAAGCUCCCUGGCAACCCACAUCCACAAUUCUGCCAGGGAUUCCUAUCUUAUCUCCUCCGUCUUCUGCCUUGACAACACAUUAGCCUGCAUUUCACUGUCAAGCACGCCUCCCUCUCCUCUCUCUCUCUUUCUUUCCCCCGGCUAAAGUGCUCUCCAGCCAUCCCCGGAAAAUGUGACCUCCCUGCAGAGAGGGGCGUCAUUUUAGGGGGGCUUUCAUUAAAAUCAACUUCAUCGUUGAAGUCUGAUUCUCAUUCAGCACCACUUCCCUCCCUCUCUCCUCGUCUGUUUAAUAAAAUCUUGGCGGCGGCAGAAGAAGAAGAAGAAGCAGCGCCGGCGUCUUGUCUGGUAUCGGAUGCCAGGAACGGGGAAAGGGAUGAUCGGCGCUUGUCAAAAACGCAAUCUGGAGGCUUAGGUGAAGCCGGCGAGAAGAGAGACGGUAUCUGAGGAAGGAGGAGGAGAAGAAAGGGAGGGAAGGCCGGGGUGAUGAUGUUUACAUGUCUGUCUGGAGCUGCAACACGCCAAAACACACAAAAACCCACUGAUAGUUAUCCUCCCAAACAUGCACUGAUUCUAAUCGCGCAAAUACACUUGCAUAUCUGGUCAUCUUUCCAGGGAGCAAACAGUCCGAUAGCAAUCAAAGGUAGCUGCACACUCCCGCCAUGAUUGACUAUCCGAGUGACUCUUCCGCGCCAGGACUCUAAUAUUCAAAGACAUAAAGGCUUAUUGGGGGAUCAGGGGAGAUAAAGACGUGAUCGGACCGAAGAGGGAACAAGCGUAGAAAGGCAAACGAGUCUGAGAGCUCUGGAGAGGCUCGCUUUAUCCAUCAGGAAGUAGACAGGACCCAUUUAGACCAUCAGUAGAUCACUCUCUUCCACACAUUCUUGACAAAUGUGAUGAAAAGUCCCACUCCAAGAUCAUUUUUGCCCUUUUUUGACUCCAUCUACUUCUGUAAACUGUUUACUUUCGCUGAUUCGAUCUACCAAUCCAAUCUCUUUCCAGAUGCUCCUUUUUUCCCCGCAGCCGGUGUUUGUGCACAG
rnacentral:lncRNA from 1 species